rnacentral:rRNA from 1 species
GGACGAACGCUGGCGGCGUGCCUAAUACAUGCAAGUUGAGCGCUGAAGGUUGGUACUUGUACCAACUGGAUGAGCAGCGAACGGGUGAGUAACGCGUGGGGAAUCUGCCUUUGAGCAGGGGACAACAUUUGGAAACGAAUGCUAAUACCGCAUAAAAACUUUAAACACAAGUUUUAAGUUUGAAAGAUGCAAUUGCAUCACUCAAAGAUGAUCCCGCGUUGUAUUAGCUAGUUGGUGAGGUAAAGGCUCACCAAGGCGAUGAUACAUAGCCGACCUGAGAGGGUGAUCGGCCACAUUGGGACUGAGACACGGCCCAAACUCCUACGGGAGGCAGCAGUAGGGAAUCUUCGGCAAUGGACGAAAGUCUGACCGAGCAACGCCGCGUGAGUGAAGAAGGUUUUCGGAUCGUAAAACUCUGUUGGUAGAGAAGAACGUUGGUGAGAGUGGAAAGCUCACCAAGUGACGGUAACUACCCAGAAAGGGACGGCUAACUACGUG